rnacentral:lncRNA from 1 species
GUUGUUGCAUAGAAAGGGAGUAUUUAUUACUCCACAAUUGUCUUUUUUUAGCUAGUGGUCAAAACAUUCAGAAAACUUCAAAGAGCUGCAUGCUCAGGGAGAGGAGGUACAAGGGAAGCUGUGGGUGUGACGUUGUGAUGGAGUGGACCAAGGAGGAGAAAUGCUUGGGAUUCUCUUUGGUUCUUGCCUGUGCUCUGGGAAAUCACUGAACUGCCCUAAGGAAAAUUGUCCCCUGGUGCAGUGAACUCCAGUGCUCCCAUAAGUGUUUACCAUCAGCAAAGAACCAGCGCCUGCUUCUGAGUAACCUAGUUCUACCUAGAAUGGACUGCAGGCAUGCAGGUGGGCUGAAUUUGUUCACUAGUAAUAUUGCUUCUACUGCCUUUGGGAAGUGGGUCUAGGGACACAGUAGAUGUGGGGGACAAACAAAUACCAUUCAUCUUCUGGCUACCCUAUUUAACUCCUGACAACUGGAACAGGGAUGUCGACAGUCAGAGGAGGAGGAGGGUAGAAGUGUGCACUGGAACACCAGAUGUUUGAGGCUGAAAAUUAUAUGGAUGCAGAAUAAAUAACCCCAAAAUAACCUUCUAUCUGUGGUGUCCAGUCCCCCUCCUUGGCCAGGCAUCAAAGCUACGUGUUGUUCGUUUAAAACAUGAACAUCCUGAUCCCAGGACUUUGAAGAUAGGAAUCACCCAUCCCAAACCAGACACACUGCCCACAGUAGCUGAGAAAGAAGCCAAAGGUGGUGAAUGAUUAGCAGAACUGCCAGACAGCUCCAGAGUCUGGACACAGAGUACCAGGAAAGCUGUUUCGUGGGGGAAACUCAGACUGAUCAAAAGAGCCGAGGAAGUCCUUUGUGGCCUGUCUACUCCAUGGAAAUAGCUCUAGGAGAGGGAAGACCAGCUGCCUUCAUCAGGAAUUCACAGGUGGCAUUUCUAUGGGGAAUCAGCACAAGGUCAGAGUCCAGGCCUCAUCUGUCCAGACUUUUUUCUUAAUAGUUCAAACAUGGGUGAGCUACUGUAGUAGCACAAACAGAGAAAUGUUUUGUUUGCAACUUUAGAACCACCUUCCACCUUUGCCCACCCUCUAUGUCUCUGGAGGCCGCACUUUAUGGAUGGCAAUAACAACCUUCUUCACAUUCUGGCUUCUGGUUGGGUUUGUUAAAGGAAGGCACAGGAAAGAGGAAGGAGGGAGGUGAGCAGGAGGAGAAUGGGUCUGACAUAUCCAUUCCCAGGUAGCCUCUCUGCUGAGUGCAGAGGUUGUUUGCAUCACCUAUAGAGGGCCCCAGCUCCAGCAGGAGGCCAGCUCCUAUAGCUAGAGCUACCCCUCAGGUCUGGUCAGCUGCUUCCCUGUGCCUAGGUGUGGUUAAUGGCUCUUCACUGUCGCUAACUCUUGGAUAUGUUAGCUUUCCUGCCAACAGUGUUUUAAGUGACUCCUUUAGUUAACACGUAAUAGUUUUACCCCAUGUGAGUGUGCAAUUCUAGAUCAAUGAUUGAUAGAGUAACAGAUAUCAAGAGUGGCCUCAGGAGUG